rnacentral:rRNA from 1 species
UACGGGGGGAGCAAGCGUUGUUCGGAUUUACUGGGCGUAAAGGGCGGGUAGGCGGCCACUGCAAGUCGGUUGUGAAAUCUCCGGGCUUAACCCGGAAAGGUCAACCGAUACUGCAGGGCUAGAGUGCAGAAGGGGCAACUGGAAUUCUCGGUGUAGCGGUGAAAUGCGUAGAUAUCGGAAGGAACACCAGUGGCGAAGGCGGCUUCCUGGUCCAACACUGACGCUGAGGCGCGAAAGCGUGGGGAGCAAACAGG